rnacentral:misc_RNA from 1 species
AACGCACAUUGCGCCCUUUGGUAUUCCGAGGGGCAUGCCUGUUCGAGCGUCAUUGCAAAACCUCUCAAGCUUUCUCUUGCUUGGUGUGUUGGGUCUUCGUCCUUCUCCCCCCCCUUCUCCCUGCUGCUUGCUCAAGUGGAGUGGAGGGGAACCCGGACGUACCUGAAAAUCAGUGGCGGUGCCAUGAUAGCCUCAAGCGUAGCGGGCUCCCUCUCGCUUUGGAUGGCCUUGUCAUGCAGCUUGCCGGCCUUUGCAUGUUUGCCUUAUCAAGGUGUUUGACCUCGGAUCAGGUAGGGAUACCCGCUGAACUUAA